CGACUCCAUUAAAGCUGGUUCAGAUGGUUUUUUGAUGGUUGAUGGAGUUGAAAUCACCCAUCUAAACAGACCAAAUGACAAAUUGUUUGACUGGUUCUUUCACCCUUUGCUGGUUCUAAAAGAACAAAUUAGGGUCAUCAAAUUGGGAGAAGGCGAAGAAAGGUUCUUGCAGAAAAUAGUUCUUUUUGGAAGCGAUAUGAAACGGAUGGAGGCUUGGGAUAAUGGCAGUUUAGGACCUCAAGAGGCUCUAAGAGCGGCUCAACUCCAGGGCAUCAGUAGAAGGAU
rnacentral:misc_RNA from 1 species